rnacentral:rRNA from 1 species
AUUGAACGCUGGCGGCAGGCCUAACACAUGCAAGUCGAACGAGUGGCGGACGGGUGAGUAAUGUCUGGGAAACUGCCUGAUGGAGGGGGAUAACUACUGGAAACGGUAGCUAAUACCGCAUACCAUCGGAUGUGCCCAGAUGGGAUUAGCUAGUAGGGGGGGUAAAGGCUCACCUAGGCGACGAUCCCUAGCUGGUCUGAGAUGCUGACCGGCUACACUGGAACGGAGACACGGUCCUGACUCCUACGGGUGGCACCAGUUGGCAAUAUUGGUCAAUGGGCGCAAGCCUGAUGGAGCCAUGCCGCGUGUAUGAAGAAGGCCUUCGGGUUGUAAAGUACUUUCAGCGGGGAGGCGUUACCCGCAGAAGAAGCACCGGCUAACUCCGUGCCAGCAGCCGCGGUAAUAC